rnacentral:rRNA from 1 species
AGUGAACGCUGGCGGUAGGCCUAACACAUGCAAGUCGAACGGCAGCACAGUAAGAGCUUGCUCUUACGGGUGGCGAGUGGCGGACGGGUGAGGAAUACAUCGGAAUCUACUUUUUCGUGGGGGAUAACGUAGGGAAACUUACGCUAAUACCGCAUACGACCUACGGGUGAAAGCAGGGGAUCUUCGGACCUUGCGCGAUUGAAUGAGCCGAUGUCGGAUUAGCUAGUUGGCGGGGUAAAGGCCCACCAAGGCGACGAUCCGUAGCUGGUCUGAGAGGAUGAUCAGCAACACUGGAACUGAGAAACGGUCCAGACUCCUAGGGGAGGAAGCGGUGGGGAAUAUUGGACAAGGGGCGAAAGCCUGAUCCAGCCAUACCGGGGGGGGGAAGAAGGCCUUGGGGUUGUAAAGCCCUUUUGUUGGGAAAAAAAAGCAGCAGGUUAAAACCCCGCUGUUCUGAGGGUACCAAAAGAAUAAGCACCGGCUAAUUUCGG